rnacentral:rRNA from 1 species
UACGUAGGGGGCAAGCGUUAUCCGGAUUCAUUGGGCGUAAAGCGCGCGUAGGCGGUUGCCUAAGCGGGACCUCUAAUCUUAGGGCUCAACCUUAAGCCGGGUCCCGAACUGGGUGACUUGAGUGCGGUAGAGGAAAGUGGAAUUCCCGGUGUAGCGGUGGAAUGCGCAGAUAUCGGGAAGAACACCGAUGGCGAAGGCAGCUUUCUGGGCCGCCACUGACGCUGAGGCGCGAAAGCUAGGGGAGCAAACAG